rnacentral:lncRNA from 1 species
GAUAAGACUAUCAGAAGGAGGUUCUAAUUCUGUUCUAGAUGUACAUGAAAAUGAUGUGGUAGAAGGGUUGCCUAAUAGUGCUAGUACUACUGAAAACAAAAAGAAGGGAAGGGGUCAAGCAAAAUUGAAUUAUCUCAACAAGAGAAAAUGUGGAAGUUACCAGUAGAGUUUAAUGAAAGAGGACAACCAAUUUGUAAGGGUUCAAAUAAGUUGUCAUCAUUUAUUGGGACCACAACUAGAGAACUUAUACCAAUUACAUGGAAAAAUUGGAAAGAUAUCAGCAAAGAAUUUCUUGAUGACAUAUGGGAGCAUGUGCAUGUAAUAUAAAUGUCACGUCUCUUAUAUAAUUUAAAUUAAAUUACUAUUAAUAUUGUGUACUUUGAUGCAGCAAAUUUGGAUGUCAAUGCUUGUCAUAGAAAAUACAUCAUGCAAAAAAUAGGAAAAAUUUGGCGAAAUCAUCGAUGUAAUUUGCUUAAAGCAAUCAAUAACAAAGGAAAAACAAUUGGCAUGACACAAGCUACUGCUCUCAUCAAGCCCGAUAAUGUUGAAUCAAUGGAAGAAUAGCAAGCAUUUGUCAAAGAACACAAUUCUCAACCAUAUAAGGUAAGAUUUCAUUGCUUUUGUAUAUUGAUUGUGCCUUGCAACAUAUUGCUUACUGCAUCUGUUAUAUAUUCGCCACAACAUUUAUGCCUAUUACAGCGUGCAUAAAUGAUUUUGUAGGAAAAGAAUGAAAGAUUCAAAAAGAUGAGAGCAAGUCAAACCAUGAUGCAUACAACAAGUAGAAAGGGCUUUACUCGCUUAGAAGCUGAAAUGGUAAACAAUUGUUAAAUUAAAGUUAAAUUUGUUUGAAAAAUUAUAAAUGUUAUACAAACUACCACCCAUGAAAUGUGUAAAAUGCAGCGUGCUGAAAGUGUAGAUCCUGAUUCGAUAACGAGAGAAUGGUGAACCUAUUAAUGAAUCAGUUGGGAAAACAUUGGUAAAAAUAUUGCUUUUAAUAAUUUUUUUAUCAUUCAAAGCUUAUAUUACGUAAUUUUAGCUCAUUAAUGUAUUUCCUCAUAUCAAAAUAUAAUAAAAGCAUAUUCAGAGGCCGUUUCCUCUCCAAGCAAACACUUACUUGAAAGUGAUGGUGUUGCAAAACUACUUGAUCCAGAAUGUCUAGGACGGGUAAGAGGUCUUGGUUUCGGUGCGUCUUCUUCAAAGUUGAAUGCUUUGGUGCACAAUCAUAACUUGCAAACUCAAGAUCAAGAGUUGAGGGAUGAAAUUAAAGAAUUAAAAGCUCUAUUUCAAGUGAAGAGUAAAAGUGCUGAACAAGAAGAUAAUGUAAGUGGAAAUCUAGAAUCAAUGAAUGUUAUUUUAAAUUACAUAUACUUUCUAUAUUCAAAAUAAUAAAUUGUACAACUGGAUAUUAAUUUUACAGUCUAGAGACAGAAGCUUGAAUGGUUUAGAUAACCUUCAAAAUAAGAAGUGCAAAUUGUUAUCUUGGUUUGGGAAAGCUGAUAUUGUUGCAAAAGGUGAAAUCACAUCAACAAAUCCAAAUGAUCUAGUGCAUCAUGUACCCCUUGGUAAUGAAUGUUGGAGAGUUUGGGUUAAUGAAUUGAUCGAUAAUGUCAGCUUAUAUCAUCCCAUGCGUGAGCUUUUUCUUCUUGAAGAUGCAUUAAGAAGUACAAUUGCAUGGCCAAGUAGGUAUAUCGAAGUGGAUUCACUGUAAUCACACCGAA